rnacentral:rRNA from 1 species
CAAGAGCGUAUAUUAACGCUGCUGCUGUUAAAGGGUUCGUAGUUGGAUUUGAGGUCGGAGAAUGGAGGUGGUCCUAGACCAUAUGCCUUUACUUACUCUGGCUUCUUUCUAGGCGGAACUGUAGCCAAGGACGACGCGCUUCGUCGCUGAGUCUGACUUCGCGUAAACCUUACGCACGGCCGUCCGCCAUCAUUACUGUGAGCAAAACAGCGUGUCCAAGGCAGGCUUUGCCCGAAUGAUAAAGCAUGGAAUAACAGGGGUUCACACGUAACAGUGCUCCCAUGUUGGUUUGGUGGUGAAGUUCGUAUAAUUUCUUGUGCUUUCCCGUAGUUGGAUUCUUGGGGGAUCCGUUUGGUGAACCCAUGAUUCAUCUGCGUUUGGGCGCACAAGAGCGGGAUCAAUGGGACAAUCGGGGAAGACGUAUUACUGCGUCAGAGGUGAAAUUCUUAGACCGCAGUAAGACGGCCUACAGCGCAGGCAUCUUCCAA